UAGGGAAUCUUCGGCAAUGGGGGGAACCCUGACCGAGCAACGCCGCGUGAGUGAAGAAGGUUUUCGGAUCGUAAAGCUCUGUUGUUAAGGAAGAACGAGUGUGAGAAUGGAAAGUUCAUGCUGUGACGGUACUUAACCAGAAAGGGACGGCUAACUACGUGCCAGCAGCCGCGGUAAUACGUAGGUCCCGAGCGUUGUCCGGAUUUAUUGGGCGUAAAGCGAGCGCAGGCGGUUAGAAAAGUCUGAUGUGAAAGCCCCCGGCUCAACCGGGGAGGGUCAUUGGAAACUGGUUGACUUGAGUGCAGAAGAGGAGAGUGGAAUUCCAUGUGUAGCGGUGAAAUGCGUAGAUAUAUGGAGGAACACCAGUGGCGAAGGCGACUCUCUGGUCUGUAACUGACGCGGAGGCUCGAAAGCGUGGGUAGCAAACAGG
rnacentral:rRNA from 1 species